rnacentral:piRNA from 1 species
UGUGGUAUUACGCUUGUUGCAACGGGUUGU